rnacentral:rRNA from 1 species
UACGAAGGGGGCUAGCGUUGCUCGGAAUCACUGGGCGUAAAGCGCACGUAGGCGGAUUUUUAAGUCAGGGGUGAAAUCCUGGAGCUCAACUCCAGAACUGCCUUUGAUACUGGGAAUCUCGAGUCCGGGAGAGGCGAGUGGAAUUCCUGGUGUAGCGGUGGAAUGCGCAGAUAUCAGGAGGAACACCAAUAGCGAAGGCAGCUCGCUGGGACGGUACUGACGCUAAGGCGCGAAAGCGUGGGGAGCGAACAGG